rnacentral:rRNA from 1 species
CAUAGGUUAAUGAGGCGAACCGGGGGAACUGAAACAUCUAAGUACCCCGAGGAAAAGAAAUCAACCGAGAUUCCCCCAGUAGCGGCGAGCGAACGGGGAGCAGCCCAGAGCCUGAAUCAGUGUGUGUGUUAGUGGAAGCGUCUGGAAAGGCGCGCGAUACAGGGUGACAGCCCCGUACACAAAAAUGCACAUACUGUGAGCUCGAUGAGUAGGGCGGGACACGUGGUAUCCUGUCUGAAUAUGGGGGGACCAUCCUCCAAGGCUAAAUACUCCUGACUGACCGAUAGUGAACCAGUACCGUGAGGGAAAGGCGAAAAGAACCCCGGCGAGGGGAGUGAAAAAGAACCUGAAACCGUGUACGUACAAGCAGUGGGAGCACGCUUCGGCGUGUGACUGCGUACCUUUUGUAUAAUGGGUCAGCGACUUAUAUUCUGUAGCAAGGUUAACCGAAUAGGGGAGCCGAAGGGAAACCGAGUCUUAACUGGGCGUUAAGUUGCAGGGUAUAGACCCGAAACCCGGUGAUCUAGCCAUGGGCAGGUUGAAGGUUGGGUAACACUAACUGGAGGACCGAACCGACUAAUGUUGAAAAAUUAGCGGAUGACUUGUGGCUGGGGGUGAAAGGCCAAUCAAACCGGGAGAUAGCUGGUUCUCCCCGAAAGCUAUUUAGGUAGCGCCUCGUGAAUUCAUCUCCGGGGGUAGAGCACUGUUUCGGCAAGGGGGUCAUCCCGACUUACCAACCCGAUGCAAACUGCGAAUACCGGAGAAUGUUAUCACGGGAGACACACGGCGGGUGCUAACGUCCGUCGUGAAGAGGGAAACAACCCAGACCGCCAGCUAAGGUCCCAAAGUCAUGGUUAAGUGGGAAACGAUGUGGGAAGGCCCAGACAGCCAGGAUGUUGGCUUAGAAGCAGCCAUCAUUUAAAGAAAGCGUAAUAGCUCACUGGUCGAGUCGGCCUGCGCGGAAGAUGUAACGGGGCUAAACCAUGCACCGAAGCUGCGGCAGCGACACUAUGUGUUGUUGGGUA